rnacentral:rRNA from 1 species
CCUACGGGCGGCAGCAGUGGGGAAUAUUGGACAAUGGGGGCAACCCUGAUCCAGCCAUGCCGCGUGUGUGAAGAAGGCCCUCGGGUUGUAAAGCACUUUCAGUGAGGAAGAACGCCUGGUGGUUAAUACCCAUCAGGAAAGACAUCACUCACAGAAGAAGCACCGGCUAACUCCGUGCCAGCAGCCGCGGUAAUACGGAGGGUGCGAGCGUUAAUCGGAAUUACUGGGCGUAAAGCGCGCGUAGGUGGCUUGAUAAGCCGGUUGUGAAAGCCCCGGGCUCAACCUGGGAACGGCAUCCGGAACUGUCGAGCUAGAGUGCAGGAGAGGAAGGUAGAAUUCCCGGUGUAGCGGUGAAAUGCGUAGAGAUCGGGAGGAAUACCAGUGGCGAAGGCGGCCUUCUGGACUGACACUGACACUGAGGUGCGAAAGCGUGGGUAGCAAACAGGAUUAGAUACCCCUGUAGUC